rnacentral:rRNA from 1 species
UACAGAGGUCUCAAGCGUUGUUCGGAUUCAUUGGGCGUAAAGGGUGCGUAGGUGGCGCGCUAAGUCAGGUGUGAAAUUUCGGAGCUUAACUCCGAAACUGCAUUUGAUACUGGCGUGCUUGAGGACUGGAGAGGAGACUGGAAUUCAUGGUGUAGCGGUGAAAUGCGCAGAUAUCGGGAGGAACACCGGUGGCGAAGGCGGUUCUCUGGGCCUUACCUGACGCUGAGGCGCGAAAGCGUGGGGAGCGAACAGG